UAAAUACAUCUAGACUCAGCCACCCCAAUAUUCCCCUUAUCAACAUCUGUUUGCUCUCAUGCUGACCACAUUUGCGGAAAACAAGUUUUAGGUUUAGGUCGUCUGGCUGUCAACUUAAUAUUUUGCUCAGCAAAAACUCCUCGGUACUCCCUUGUCUAUGAAGACCUUUGGAUAAAAUUGGAAUUUCCUCAUUCAUGGGUCUAGGACUCUUUAGUACAGAGCAGUCAGGGGUUUGCAUGUUUUUCCCCACCAUGCAUGAGCGAUUCAACUGGGAAGUCGUCAAAUCCACGUGACUGUCCUCCCUCCAGGCUGCAUACCGCUCUUUUGAAGCAUUCUGGGCCGCCGAGAGCCAGCCCGGGCCCCGGGACAGACGACCUCUCCGGGCCCCUUGUACUU